rnacentral:rRNA from 1 species
GACGAACGCUGGCGGCGUGCCUAAUACCUGCAAGUCGAACGAAGCUUUUUUAACUGGUGCUUGCACCGACUUAAACAACUGAGUGGCGAACGGGUGAGUAACACGUGGGUAACCUGCCCCAAAGCGGGGGAUAACAUUUGGAAACAGAUGCUAAUACCGCAUCACCACAGAAACCACAUGGAUGCUGUGUCAAAGGUGGUCUCGGCUAUCACUUCGGGAUGGACCCGCGGCGUAUGAGCUAGUUGGUAAGGUAAUGGCUUACCAAGGCAAUGGUGCGUAGCCGAACUGAGAGGUUGAUCGGCCACAUUGGGACUGAGACACGGCCCAGACUCCUACGGGAGGCAGCAGUAGGGAAUCUUCCACAAUGGACGAAAGUCUGAUGGAGCAACGCCGCGUGAGUGAAGAAGGUUUUCGGAUCGUAAAACUCUGUUGUCAGAGAAGAACGUGUGCGAGAGUAACUGUUCGUGCAGUGACGGUAUCUGGCCAGAAAGCCACGGCUAACUACGUGCCAGCCGCCGCAGUAA